GGGCAAUUGGUCUAGUGGUCUGAUAUCCGCUUCGCACACCGCGAGAAUGCGGAGGGUCGUGGGUUCGAUUCCCACAUUGUCCA
rnacentral:tRNA from 1 species